UCCUUAGGGACUUUUUUAGUAUCUCCUAGUGAUGGGGUUUAUUUUUUUGCUGAGAAGAGUUUAUAUGUAGUGUAUCCCUUAUUGGUAAUGAAUAUGAGGCAUCAUCGUUGGCUAGUUGUUGGUGCAGUGGGCUACCAUGGUUGUAUAUGGUGAUUCUCUCUGCACUACUCGAAGAUUGCUAUUAGUCUUUUCAGUCGGCAUCUAAAAGAUUGACUCUACGAUUGAUCCUUCUUUUAUGGUAAGUUUGUGUUUGCCCGUGAUCGCGUCUAGCUUUGAUCUAAACUUUGAUUUUUUUUUUCUUGUUGAUGCUACCGAUUAUUUUUUCAAAUCUAAAGUUUGAAGGAGGUUGGACUGCAUUUGCAGGAGAGGUCUUUCUCUUCUGUCGGUGGUUUUCGGCGAU
rnacentral:lncRNA from 1 species